CAGUCCAAAGUUCAGAGGCAGAGAAGUUUGGUAGGAGGGAAGAUAUCUACAAAAUUAGAAACGAAGUUCAUGUCCCCAGCUUCCAGGCUGCUUAUCAGGAACACAGAGACUGACAUGUGAGAGCGACAUCCUUGAAAACAUGAGAAUAAAUCAAGAGGAUGAUUCAACAUAGAAAGCAUGUCACUGGAGACCUAAAGAGAAGAGGCCAAGCAGAGCAGAGAAACAGGGAGUACUCAGAGAAAUGGACUGUGUGCGUCAUCAACAACCAGACACACUAAAAGCGAGCAGCCAUGCAUGUCACUAAGCAUUCACGCCCUUAUUAAUGCUGACAAAGGGAGACUGGAUCCAGCUAAUGCAAUAUGCCCAGCAAAGAUAAGGAACUAGAAGAGGCAAUCAGAGGGAAUACUGUCUCUUAGUCAGUCAGAGGGAAUGUGACUGUCAACAGUGGCCACAGCAUAAUGCUUACAAAGACAAUAGCUUAUUUAAAACCUUAGUAGAAAGAAUUUUGAAAUUUGAUGCUAGUACAACCAAAAUAGAAAAUCUGGAUUAAAAACUAAAGACAUAUUCUCUCUCAAGGGCAAGAAAUUCAGAAUAAGAUUUUUGGCUUAUGCCUAAUGGAAUAAAGACAAUAACAUUCUAUAUCCAGAUUAACUAGAUACACAGGACAGAAGACCUGAUAAUCUCCUGCAUUAUUGACAGCCAGAGGAACACAGACAUGUGGAGAUGAACUGAGCGUCUUAAUUCAUUUUACAAACACUGAAAACAUUUUUAAGUGAAGAACUGAAAAUUAAUCUCAACUUUUGGCUUUAAUUUAAAGCAGAGAUUUUUAUGGAAGACAUUUCAUCUUUCCAGGCCUCCAGUUGGUCUAGGUGGGCUUCGGGUUGUGCCAAUAUCUGCCCAACAUUCCAGUCAUCAAAGAGAGGCCAAGCCCUAGAGCAGUUGCAACCCACAGGUUGAGAACUAUGGCCCUGGAUGAAACCUGGGGACACAAGAGGCAUCCCAGGGUCCCCAGCCCAGAAUGCAGGCAGGGCUCCUGUUUACAAGCAGGUUACAUGAAGGGACUUCAGUGGAUCUAGAGACCUGGAUCUUGAUUUCUCAACAUCCCAUCACUCGAAGAUCCAAACCAAACACACCUGAGGCACAUAUAAACUUUUCUUGAUGUUGUCUAUUUUCCUUGUGAAUAUUUUAGGACUUUAAUCUUUUAAUUGGAAUCCAAAUCCAGAGCUAUGAACCAACUAGAUCAAUUCUUUACCCUGUCAAUUCAGUAUAAAAAAAAAUCUGAUUCUUGUAUCUUUUAGGUUUCAAUCUGUAGUCCAAUCCAUCACCUUCCUAUUUCUCACAGAAAGAACAUGAAAUGGAAAAGUCUUCCUAAGUCCCCAGGGUUUCUGAGCCAGCGCUUGCCAGCAUGCUGAAGAGAACAGAUAACAGACUUUCAAAGGAAGGUCAAAACAAGUUGAAACUUUAUUAUAUGUUCAAAACCAGAAA